GCUCAGACGUCGGAUCAGAACGACGCUCUGAAACGUUUCCUCCUCUCUGCUGCUCGUCUCUGCUCCGCUGCACAAGUCUUCCUUUUCUUUUGUUUUCUGGCUCUUGGAUUUCAUUCAUGGAAGUGUUUUACAUGCUGGUCACUGAGCGGUUCUGCUCCGUUUGGACCAGAGCUUCACUGACUGGGGGGUUGUGGACAAUGUGGAGGGAAACUGAGUCGACUGGAAGUGAUUUGGAGACGAUCACGAUGCGACAUCGUGCAUCGACUGACGCUGUGUGGCUGUCGUGUUGUGUUCAGGUGCUGCGGUGGACCGGAUGCUGCCGGGCAGUACCAGGGUUCUGUUUCUCAGAGACACCUGAUGUGUUGUUGGAUCAGUGUGUAGACUUCUGAACCGAUGAUGCUGGUAUCAUUUGUUAAUUUGUUAACGGGUCAGUUUCUGACAGGGGGGUGGAUGAUGUUCAGCCUCAGCUAGCACGCUGACUCUUUUGGUUCCAGAACUCGGGUCGCUGCCUCGGACUUCUGAGCGACACAGAGCUCAGUGAGAUGAGAGAACAAUGAGUCAGACGGGUGAUGGUGGGUUAAAAUGGGGGAUACGUCUUGGUUUGCAGAGUUGACUGACGCUGUCGUGCUGAUUGUUAUUUCACUGCUGUGAAAACGUCCUGCUGCUGGCUGAACGACACAAUCUGAGAUCCAAACGUGGACCGAACAGAACGAUCCGAAGCACCGGACAGAACCACGAGGUCGAGGCCCAAGAGCUGAUUGACAGGACUUUUAAACCCGAGUGAUUCUUCUUUUUGCAGGCUUGGUAGUUCACAUCAGGUUUGUCAUUAACAUGAAUAUCGGAAACACCUGCCAGUCUGAUGCGAGUGAUUCUCUCUUUAUUAACAAACACUUUAAUGAAGGAAUCUGUAAUCCAUCCGUCUGUCGCGUUGACUUCCAGAGACUGAAUCUCUAAAACAAACCUCGUCUGUGAACAUUAGCGCCUGACGCUCGUCAGACAACAACUCCCAUGAUCCCACGCUGCUCGCGUCUUUUGUUCUGUUGUGUUUGAGACCCCUGGUGGCAGAAAUGACAAACUGCGUGUUUAACGACCGAGACGUGUCGGCCUGUCGUGUGUUUGUUGCAGACUUAACAUUCAGUAUCUUCGGCUGUUUGUUCGUCUCGGCUGCAGACGAGCUCGUGUUCCUGCAGGAGAUUCAGACCUGCUGAAUGAAACGUGUCUGAGCUGUGUUGAGUUACAGGGACGUGAUUUAUAAUUCUGUAAUCUGUCAGGUUCACUUUGGUGAAGGCAAAGAUCCUGAUUUCAUUCGUUUGUGAAACACUGGUGAAGUUUAAUCUGAAGGAUUCACGACCAGGGAAACAAAUCCUCUGUUUCAAACUCGUGCUCGUACAUUUUGUGCCACUCUGACUCACUUGUUGAUCAGCCGAGUGCCGUCUGGACACGUUGACAUCCAGAUACGUGACUGCAGCACACGACAAGUAACGAAUGAGUCUUUUAGAUUUAGUAAACCAGUUCUGUGUACGUAUUAAUUUAACAAAUCCUAAAGGCAACACUUCAAAAAACACUGUCACGUAGUUUUGGAGAAGAAAUUAAAUAUUUACAAACUCAGAAACAUGUAUUUUCUCCAUCAGUGAGUCAACGAGCAGCUCUCAGAGGAGAAUAACAUCUCAGAACACUGUUCGAAACUAGAGAAGGUGGCAGGGUCCGCCACGUGAAAACAAAUUAAAACUCCUUUAAGGUCGGUUUCACGGAGAGUUUGAUUAUUUAGUUUGUUUCAGCCAUCUUUCUUCAUCAGAACUACAGAAUGCUCCUUUUAAAAAAACCUUCCAGUGUGUUUGUCAAAGAUUUUUCUGACAUCAGUAGAUAAAAACCAACGUGUACAGAGAGAUCAGGUAACAGCAGAACACCUGGAGAUGUUUCUCCUCCUGCAGCUGCAACAACAUGAUCAUUUUCAUAUUGAUUAAUCAGCCAGAAAUAUUCUUAUUAAUUAUAGUUUUAUCAGUUAUAUUCCUGAUUAACUGUUCAGUCUGUUAAACAGGUGAAAAACCCACAAAGUGACCAAAAGUCUGUCAGUUUAUUGUAGCUGGAUGUCUGAACUCUGAUCUCAUCAUCACAGAAGUUACUGAUCAGUUAUUGAUCCAUUACUGAUCUCAGAGACGUGGAAAUCAAAGCAUGUAGUUUAGUCAUUUAACGUACUUUAUUAAAGUAUUUCCUUUUUGUUCCUCAAAUCUUCUGCUAGAUAUCUGCAGAAUGUGACACAUGUUUACAGGUUUAACUAUCAGCUGGAGGUCAAAUUAAAAAGAGGAGAAAUUCUGCAGAGUUUUACUUCUAACAAUGUUAAAAUAAAUCCAGAACUUUAAGUUGAGAAGUUGUGAUUUUCACACUGAACUCUGCUGCUUCCAGUUUGAUUCUGGAGGAGAUGCAGCUGAAGCUUGAAGUCAUCUUGUUGUUUAGUCUUCGUGGUGAUGAUGAAGUUGUAGUCACAGUUUUAUUCAUGAUUCAGGUUCAUUCUCAGCCUAUAAUCUCCUGCAGCAGCUCAUUAGAUCCUGCGUCACAAACCCAGAACAUUUUUCACAUAACGUUCAAACAUAUGAGCUGGAUUUGGAUUUGAUCUGGAAAAGAAAAAAAAAACCCUCAGGCCUGAGCAGAGGGAGCUGGAUGGAGCAGGAGGAGGUGCAGGAGGUGGUGGUGGUGGGGGGGGUGUAACCGCCAAGCCCUGCAGAAAUGGCCUGAUGGGUGCUAAUGAACUUGGGAUGUGGCACCACAAUGCUGAGCGCCCCCUGGUCCACCUCGGUGCCCGGGUUCCCAUGCAGCCAUGGGAUAAGAGAGAGGGAUGAUGGGGGGAGGAGGAGGAGGAGGAGGAGGAGGAGGAGGGAGGCUGGAUGGUGCACCCAGCCUAUUGUGCCCGGUCCUUAGCCCAUUAGCCACCAACCAACCACUCCCGCUUUCCCAAGAGCAGCUCGAGGCCGGCCCGCCUGCCUGCCCGCCCGGACUCGGUAACCAGGCAUCGGCGCGGGCGCGGAGGAGGGGAGGAGAGAAACAGUAGCCGUAUUUAGAGUCUGAUCUCCAGGAAAGCGUCCAAAAUCUGGAGAGAAAGAGAGAGAGGAAAAAAAGGAGAGCCCGGGACAUUGGUAGGCAGAGAGAACCCCCCGACAACAAACCGGGGGCUGACAAAGUUGUCUCUUUGGCAGUCGCGCCUCCUAUUGAAGCCGUAAUUUAUUCAAAGGAGAUUUUUAUCCCCGCGAUCUGAUUAUUAUGAUAAUCAAGUGACCCAGACCCCCUUUCUUGGCUCUUGUCUGCGGGCUCUGGGCUCGGCGGUGACAGUAAAAGCUGAUUUGCACGGUCUUCACCCCCCCCGGUCACAUUCCUGGACUCCUCUGUAUCAAAGACGCGCACAAUGAGAAUAGUGGAUGUGCGCACUUGAUCCAGGCGCAUGAGCGGAGGCCGCAGUCUCCGCCGGGGGCUUUGUGUCAAACGAAUACUAGUAGCCAGACAAGAUUACACGAAACUUUUUUUAUAAUCCCACAUGGGCCAAAAAGAAAGAAAGAAAGAAACAAACAACGAGGCUCAAAAACGACUGUUGAUGAGUGAUGGAGCUGCAGCAGAGGACGCUGCGUGCGUGAAGGCGCCAAUUUAUGCGUAAUUAUGUUGAAUUAAUGAUGAAUCUGACCAUCAGACGUGAAGCUGUGUGUGUGUGUGUGUGUGUGUGUGUGUGUGUGUGUGUGUGUGUGUGUGUGUGUGUGUGUGUGUGUGUGUGUUAAUGUUUCUCAAAAUUCUCUUUGUCUCAAACAUGAACAACGUGACUUCAGAUGAGAGUUUCCAGCAGCAGAACUUGGAGCUCCAUCCUGCGCGUCUCCACCAGCAGCAGCGUCCUGCUUUCAUAUUUCAGAGGGUGGAGACAAAAAAAAAAAAAAAAAAGCAGACCUGCAUCGUGUCAUAAAGGGGAGGGCCUUCGUGGCGGUAUAUGUUUUUAGAGCAGGCAUGUUUUAAGUUCAUAUCGCAUCUGAAGCGAGGAAUGGCGAGCGCGAGGGACGGCUCGGGCAGGAGGAGGAGGAGGAGGAGGAGGAGGAGAGGAGGAGGAGGAGGAGGAGGAGGGGGGCGAGGAGGCGAGAUCCACCUCCGCGGGAAAUAAUGGGGAUGAUAAUAAAACAGGGGGAAAACCCGUCCGAGGGACGCUGAAUGGAUGGAGCCACGGAGACGUCACGGCCAGCCGCAGCCAUGAAGACUGAGCGGUCCAGCCUCCGGCAGCUCAGUUGGUCUCCAUCUGCCCAGCUGCUCGCUUCCUCUCGGCGGCGGAGAGAAGCGGACACGGCGGCGGCGACACGCAGACGACGGCGUCAGAGCUCGGCCCAUGUUACUUCGCCUGCGGCUUGAGAGGAUGGGUGGCCUUAGGGGUUGGUUGUUAUCUUUGGUUAUCUAGCUGUAUGAGUGAUGUACAUUCUUCAUAAAGCUAGAUAACCGAAAGUAACAAGAAUCCCAUUACGCUCCUGAAAAGGCAUCAAGACCCCAAACGCACGCCACGCUCCGAAAGAAACAAGUCUACCGCAAGAAGUGCAACAAGACAAGAACUGAAGAAAAAUGGACGAUUUGAAAAAAAAAAAAAAAGCAGGAGAUGCAGCAGAAGGCGACCAGCAGCACCACCACGCCGCUGAAGGAGAGCUGGCAAAGGGAGACUGAAAAACAGGGAAGAAGAAGAAGGAGGAGGAGGGGUUGCUGUUGAUUCUGCCCUCCCUCUCUCCUCGCCCUCCUCUGCAUCGCCUCUUCCCUCCUCCUCCUCCUCCUCCUCCUCCCUUCCUCCUCCGCUCCAUCCUCAGCCGACUGCCCCUUUUUCCUGUACAGCGAGACGCAGCCACCAUCUUAGAGUAAUGCUGGCAUGAAAUGGAAGUGGGAAGACCAGUCAGUGCAGGUUGUCGAUGCCGGGGAGGAGGAGGAGGAGGAGGAGGAGAUCCAGAGCGGCCGGAGCGUGCAGCGGACUGACGGCAGGAUUCGUCCUGCGGAGGCUGUUUGUCAGGACUAAACAUGGACGCCGCCACACGUGACUCAGUGGCGAUUCCUGCCAAGACUGUGGAGCGUCGCCGCACUUCUUCAGUGCUGCUGCGUCAUGCACGACACCGGCUGACAGUCGAGCUGGACUCAUUGUGAACGACGUCAGUGUUUCAUCAGAUCCUCAAACAUCACGGUGGACUGUCGGACACUCAGACAGAAGAUCAGCAGCUUGAGGUGUCGAAGAACUGGUCCUGAAUUGUGACUCUUGUUUUCAUAUUUUUAAGGGUUUGACACUCGAUCGUGUUUUUUUUUUUCUUCUUAUAUAUUUUCUAGGGCUGGGAGAUGUGGACUGUGCUGUAUACGUUACAUAUCUCUCCAGAAUAAGUUCUUCAUAUGUGCAACAAUAACUGUAGAGAUGACUGUUAGUUCUUUCACUAAAUAUUAAAACAAUGAACACAUAGAAGAAAAGUCUUAAAACAAAACUAUCAUGAUGCAACAAUAUGAAAUUAAUUUAUUUCCCAGCCCUAAUAUUUGUCUAUAAAACAAUAUAUCUUAGAGAUGAAGCGGUAUAAAGCGUCUUCGACUAACAUUAGGCCGUAUUUGACGAGUCGUAGCCCACGUUUAGUUUGGAUUUCCUGUUUCGUUAUAGUUGCUAGGACUCAAAGACGUGAGAAUGUGACGACCCACGGCAGCAGUGAAUAAUACUGCACUGCGAUUGGACAGCUCCAUGUGUCGGCUGACACAAUGGCGAAGGAGUGAGCUGUUGUCUUUAUACUCUAUGCAACUGUUUUGUCUUUGUUUUAUUCUGUUUUUUUUAUUAUUUUUAUUUUUAUUUUAAACCCGGCCUCUUUUCAUUCUUAGUCCUGAUUUUAUUUGUAUUAUUUUUUUGGGCUCCCAGUUUUCAGACGUUCCUCCAGACGUGAUGUGUUUUCUGGAGGGACGCUCGUCUCUCUCUCGCCUCCUGUUUGUUAAUAUACCGACACAGAUUACAGUCGGAGUGUGUGACAGAUGACAGAAUGCAGCUCAGUGUUCAGAUGUAUUGAGUCUCAUAUAUUUUUUUUUUCAGCCUUAACAGACUUUGAUUUGCAGCCACAGGAAAAAAAAACAAAAAAAAAAAACCUCAGCCUGAGUUAAAUGUGGAUUCUCAGGUUUUUAAUAUUCCCGAUGGCAGGAGUGUGUUUGAUCAGCGGGGAAGUGGCGAGGCGGCGGUGGAGCUUUUUCGCGGCUGCGUCUACACACAACACACGCCGCGGCUAUUAAAACCUUUUUUUUUUUUUUCCCAGCAGGCUUUGAGCCGUUUUGGUCGGUUGCAGUCACCUGCUCGGCUGUAAUGACACAUCUUUGGGUGAGACAUGACAAAUACAUUGGCUUCAAACACUGGCUUAAUUUCCUGUCCUUGACAUUAACACACACACACACACACACACACACACA